AUACUUAACUGGCAGGGGAGAUACCACAAUCUUGAAGGUGAUUUUCCCAGGGCGGGGCUUAUCCACUGCACUCCUGUAGGUGCUGACCCCUGCGAUUUCCCCAGAUGUGGGAAACUCGACUGCAUAAUUUGUGGUAGUGGGGGACUGCAUUCACACUCUCCCCUG